UCCAGCUGAAGACCAGAGAUUCUCUCUGACUGACAACACGACGGCCAGAGUUUUCACCGUCACCAUCACUGAUCUGAGAACAGAGGAUGCAGGACAAUACUGGUGUGGAGUGGAGAGGACUUUAACUGAUGACUAUUCAGAGAUUUUGUUGCUGGUUAAACACGAUAAUAAGACCACUGCGAUUUCAACCACCAGCCCUUUUACAGCAACACUGUCAUAUUUCAGCAAAACAGAACCACAUCCACAAUCCAGCAGCAUCACAAUCACAGAAAGAAAAGAAACAAUCACAGAUCAGCACAACUCCUCAGCAGGUUCAGUUGUGAUUAUCGUCACUGCGGAG